rnacentral:rRNA from 1 species
UAGGUUAGGACCGGGUUAGGGUGCGAGUCGGGGAAAGGGAAGGUUAGAGGUUAGCGGUGUGGGAGAGAGGACGGCGUGCUUGGGAUCGUUUGCGGUCGGCGGCGGGAGUGAGGAGGGUUGGCGGAGGUACGAGAGAAGGAGGAGGAGGAGGUGGGAGGGCGUAGAGUAGGUAGAGCGGCCUAGGUUCCGCACCCUCGUGCCUCCGCUCGAAGAUGCCGCCGCCGCCCUCUGACUUCCGUUUCCCUCUGGGGUACCUAGGCACAGGUCGGGAGAAGUAGAGCCAAGGGUACCUAGACUCCGAACGCCCGUGCCUCCGCAUGUCGGGGCCGCCGCCGCCGUUGACGUCCGUUCCCCGUUACCACCGCGGCGAGCUAGACUAGACGUCCUCUCCCUCUUCUACUCUCCCUCUCUCUCUACCUUCUUCUCCUCCUUCUUUCCGUCUCCUUCUCUUCUCCCUUCACGCCGCAGCCGGCCCGCUCCCAGUGACCGCGCCAAACACCAGCGUUUUUGCCGUAGCUUCAGGUGGUGAUACUCGACGAGCUUGGCAUACGUGGGCUACCGAAGGAAAGGGGAAGACCACCUGGGAGGGACAAAAUACGUUGAAACUCUUACUUCUGUUACUGCCCCUCCUCCCGGACGGAAAAGGAGCCUCUCCUCCAGUUGGCAACCUCCAAAAAACUCCCUUACUUCGUUUUGUCGUCCUUCCUUUAUCUCACCCAUCACACAGUAGUAGGUGUGUCAGACGGAAGGUAACCGUACACGUGUUGUCCCUGGUACGUAACCUUGUAGCUUAAGUUGGUCGAAUGUUCAACUUCUCUUCCAAUGCAUACGAGAAACACUCGUCAUGACUCAUUAGAUUACUAGACGAGGUACGUUAGAUUCUUUUUAUUUACACGUUCGGUAAAGACUAUCUUCCAGACCCAUAGUUGAUAAAAACAAACACAGAUGUUCGAAAACUGAAAGAACGGGUCAGAUAACAAAUAAACGUUAUAAUCUAUGAGAACGGUAAAGAACACUUAUAAAAAAGCAAACUGCAUGAGAGUUAUAUGUAGUAUAAUUGAGAUAUAACGUCUUAAAAACUUGUUAGUCAUGAAGUGGCGCCAUUAGAUGUCCUUCCGUUCCUAUUGAUAUAAUUUGUAAAGUGCUCUAGGAAGGUUAAUAACCGUGUUUGAGGAAAAGUUCUAUAAUGCUCACACCAAAUGAUGGCCUCUAAUAGUCUACCUUUCUUGUGACUACCACUACUAUAUAUGAAUAUACGGGUAAUAGCUCACUAUAUAUCGAUAACAAGAGAUGGUUACCAUACAAACGUUGACGUUGGGUAUAAGGUUACUGCCGGUGUUGGCUCUGUUGUACGUAGACGCCCCUCUUAGUGGUGCUGCCUGACGUAGACGGGUCUGCUAACAACGUUGCCGGUGCUGUUUCACGUAGAGAGUUAAGGCCCUAGUCGUACGACCUACUUAGGAGGAACGGACAAUUCAACGUUGCCACGUUGGUUUGUGGUACCUCCGAAUCCCUGCCACUUAGACGUAGCUGUCACUACCUACCUUUAACGAGCGGGAGGAAGGAGGUAUUUGGUGCCCCUGGAACAUAUCAACAUAAUCGGAGGGGUAGAUAGGCAGUCCUUCGGGACUGAAAGGGACGAUAACGACAGCUUUUACGAUGGGAACGUCUUGUACUGGACUUGAAUUCAUACCGUGUACCUCGAAGUCUACUUCCACGAAUGACUAAGUGAGAAAUACGUUGUGAGUAGAAAAUAUGGACUUACACUUCUAUUAUAUAAACUUCGGAGUUUACCCCUACCGUAAACUUCCUGACUUCCGACGUCUCAUCAAGAUGUUCAGAAUACGUGUGGUGAGAUCAAAAUCUCAAACAUAACCUGUUGUUUUCUUCAAUCUUUUACUCCAGUAUGUGUUAUUUUCAAUGACAUGUACAAACCAUUACUAUGGAUGCUCUAUGAUAGUACCCAGCUCGUGGUCAGUAACGGAACACAGUGGUCUAUUCGAAGUAAAUUAGUUUAGUUUAACAACUUCAUCACUCUCCCGUUUCUUGUGUAACAUGUGUACGUCGUUUCGUUCGUCUCGAGUAAUUAUGUUAAAAUAAUCAAAAUGCCUUAAAACUUAAGAUACAUUACCUACUCUCCAACACAAAUAAGAGGUUGAUAAACAGGAUAAAGAUAGUGUAAACUACGUAGACAUUAAAGAAGUCUCACCAGACAUCUACGACGAUUAAGGUCAACAAAUACUUCCAACCCUCAAAGAAGAACAAAUGCUUACUCUUAAACCUACGUGUCCGUGGUCCAAAGCUUCCUCGUCCAUCGAAGAUUAAGUACUUAAGAAACCCGACGAUCGAUGACAAUCGUACAUAGUCCACUUAUUCGGAACUUCUAUUUAGUCUGAUCGU